GAGACUCUGUGCGCGUGCAUAUCAAUAAGCGGAGGAAAAGAAACUAACAAGGAUUCCCCUUAGUAACGGCGAGUGAAGCGGGAAGAGCUCAAAUUUGAAAUCUUAAAGGGUUCUCCCUUGACGAAUUGUAGUUUAUAGAAGUGUUUUCUAUUAGAGUUUCGGUAAAAGUUCUUUGGAAUAGGACAUCAUAGAGGGUGAGAAUCCCGUAUUUGACCGUUACUUUCCAGCUGUGUGAUACACUUUCAAAGAGUCGGAUUGUUUGGGAAUGCAGUCCAAAAUGGGUGGUAAAUUUCAUCUAAAGCUAAAUAUUGGCGAGAGACCGAUAGCGGAACAAGUACCGUGAGGGAAAGAUGAAAAGAACUUUGAAAGAGAGAGUUAAACAGUACGUGAAAUUGUCAAAAGGGAAGCGUUUGACACCAGUGUUGUUUAGUUGAAAAUCAAUUCAAUAGUUUUUGAUUUAAGUAGUAUUGACUUCAUCAGCUUGCUGCUUUCUUUUCAGGAAUUAUUGAAUGCACUUUUCAGUUAACAAGUCAACAUCAAUUUCUUUUGUUGUAAAAGGGUAAGAGGAAGGUGGCUUACGCUUCGGCGUAAGUGUUUAUAGCCUUUUACCUCUGCAAUCGGAGAGAUUGAGGACAGCAGCGUAGACUCUUCGGGGUUAGAUACACUUGUGCUAAGCUAUAGCCUUGUAUAGACAACUUGUUGACUAUGCUCAGUCAUGUAGCUUACUCGCUUGUGCUAUUUUACCUACGCUUAGGAUGUUGACAGCAGUAUAGACUGU
rnacentral:rRNA from 1 species